GCAAUGGAAGCCUUUUGGAAUCAAAUAGCACUAUCUUUAAUGCAAAAGUCUAUUUUUAAUUGCGGUCGGCAUGGGUGUACUGAGUGGACUGGUGGUAGAGAGCAUGGGGUCUAUGGGAAGAAGUCAGUUGUGUGGCCUGAUGGAAAGAAAAAAAUAGAAAGGGUUCACAGGCUCUCCUACAUGCAUGCACAUCAUAUUUUGAGGGAUGAAAUGCCAAAUAAAAAUUCACAGGGGGAGCGGUUAGAUGUCUCGCACAUAUGCCAUAACCCCAUCUGUCUUAAGCCGGAACAUUUAAUUCUUGAGCCACACUCUCUCAAUAUGGAUAGAAUGGGGUGUAGAAUGAGAAAUUUAUGUACAAAGGAUCACCAUCCACAUUGUUUAUUAUAGAUUAAGGUGAAUAUUAUUUAUUUGAAAGCCUAGUAGACUUGCGGAGUCUGCCAUAUGAGUGGUCUUUUGGGUACAUAGGACUGUUUUUAGUGACCGGUAAAAGUUUAUUUUUCGUAUAAUCUUUUUCCUCCUGAUGCCGU
rnacentral:lncRNA from 1 species